rnacentral:piRNA from 1 species
GUCAGUAUAAAUGCUAAAU